rnacentral:tRNA from 1 species
GGUCGUAUAGUGUAGUUGGUUAUCACACCAGGUUCUGAUCCUGGUGGCCUGGGUUCGAAUCCCAGUAGGACCU